UAAGCAAGGAAGAUGGUCGCAAGAUGCAUAAUGCAUCUUGAGGAAAGUCCGGACUUCAUGGAGGUAAGGUGCCUGGGAAACCCAGGCAGGGGCAACUCUAGGGAAAGUGCCACAGAAAAUAAACCGCUGAGAAAUCAGUAAGGGUGAAAAGGCAGUGUAAAAGACUACCACCAUCUCCAGUAAUGAAGAUGGGUAUGGUAAACCCCACCUGAAGCAAGGCCAAAUAGGAUGGUAGGGCGCCUCCACCAAAAACCAUCGGGUUGGCUGCAUAGAUAAAUGAUCAUCGUCUCUCUACUUGAGAGAACAGAAUCCGGCUUAUUCCUUGCUUAGGGA
rnacentral:RNase_P_RNA from 1 species